UCGUCAGUGGACUUCUCUGAUAAACAGGAAAGACUUCGUGCCAAACAGAAAUUCAAGUGUGUGUUCUGCGCAUUUCAUUGAUGGAAAACGCACGGGAUAAAACCCGCUGCUGAUGCUGAACUUGGGUUACUAGUGAAAGCCUGGUUUGGUGGCCUCCCGGCCAAAUAUUGGGUUCGUUUGGAACUUCAACAAGGCAGCACUGCACUAUUGGACUACGGCAAGGAGGCAGGUCAUUGCAUCAACUACAAGGAGGCCACUAAAAGCAGCAAACAGGAUCGUUCAGGCCUUCAAGACGGAAAGCCGUGUGAACGACGCUCAGCACAGGCGCUGACCUCGGGCAACAACUGAAUACGAAGACCGUGUGAUUCUGGCUGCAGUGGCACUGCAGCCGCAGACAACAGUCACUGAAGUACUGAAGGAACUUGGCAUUAGGGCAUGUGAGACGACUGCGACGCGCCGCCUCGACGAAGCUGGUCUCAAAAAGAGGAUUGCUUGCAGGAAACCUCUGCUUCGAGGCACCAAGCCAAACGCCUGCAGUUUGGUAAGGACCACGCAGAUUGGAUUACCUCCGACUGGGAAUGUGUUGUAUUCACAGACGAAGGUUCGUUCACGACCCGGUGGGACCAGAGACAGAGUGUGGCGCCCAGAAAAGCGCCGUUACAGAACAGGAUACCUCCAGCGAGUGGCUGCAAGUGGGCGUUCAGCAGUGUGCGUGUGGGGCCUCGUGACCAAAAAAGGGCUUGGUCCACUAGUCCGCAUAGAGGACAGAUUCACGUUUGCCGCCUACUGCUCAAUCGUGGACGACGUGAUGGUGCCCUGCUUGCUGAAUGGGCCCUUCGCGGAAGGUGCUUACAUCUUCCAGCAAGACAAGUCGCCCAUACACACAUCCGGAAGGGUGACAAGCUUUUUCGAGGAUCGUGGAAUCGACUCUCUAAGGUGGCCGCCCCAGUCUCCAGACCUUAACAUUAUUGAGAACCUGCGAGGCCUUUUGAAAACUGCGCUGGCGGCUCGGUCUGCACGGACUAUCGACCAACGAGCUUUGGGGUGUCACAGAGGAGUGGAAGCGGCUGAGAAGCAACAGAUCACUAACGGCCACCUUGUAUAACUCGCUACCCUGAAGAAUGGCAGCUGUCGUCGCAGCAAAUGGGGACGGCACGAGGUACGGAAAAGUGCGUCGACACAACAUAUUUCAGACUCUUGUUUUGUUUUGUUUUGGUGCUCAAUACAAAAGAAAAAUAUACGUAUAUCUUUUAUGUCAAUAAAUGUAUUGAUAUCUGUUUU